CAUAAACAACAGAGAGGUUCUAAAUGUGGUCCUGGACCGUCCCUGAGCUGCAGGUGUAGCCCCGCCCAGCUGACACACCUGGACACCUGCCCACAGAUAAGACUGACACAAUGCUCAGUCCACACAGAGCUGUGAGAAGACGACCGUCAUCAACUCCAUGUAAAUCAGAAGUCACCACCACGACUGAAGAGACCAGGACACAGGAAGUGACAACAGCAGAGAGACCAGGACACAGGAAGUGACAACAGCAGAGAGACCAGGACACAGGAAGUGACAACAGCAGAGAGACCAGGACACAGGAAGUGACAACAGCAGAGAGACCAGGACACAGGAAGUGACAACAGCAGAGAGACCAGGACACAGGAAGGGACUACACUUCCACAGGUAACAUGGAGAGAAAAUACAGAAGAAAAGGACUGUGUUGAUCUGGAUGUAGCGAAGGAGGAGAAGAAACAAGGAAAUGAGGAACAGUGGACCAGAAUCAUGUCAGAACAUCUGAGUCAUGUUUAACAGAACACAUGAACACAGUAUACAAGGAACACUCGUUAUGUACUGGAGGUGUUUCAGUGGCAGGAAGCAGAGUUCAUCGAUCCAUCCACACUGAAAGUGAAACUCCGCCGUCCUGCCAGUGGAGAAGAGUCGAUCUCAGAAUGUGACGUAACCUGGAGGACAGUUAAGCCUGUUUCAUCACCUUUCUUAUGCAACCCUGCUGCAAGCCGUCCUGACUGUACAUUUAAAGAAACAGCUCCACCUGCUGGACGGUGAUCAGACUGCAGCAGCAUCAUGAGUCAUCAGUCAUGAAGAAAUAAACUGAUGAUCAGGUUCUGACAGAAGCUGCAGCUGCAGGCGGCGACUCAUCCUGUGUGACAAGACGUCCAACAUGAGCUGAGAACUAAAUACAUAUUUCAGCCUUCUUGAUGUAUCUGUGGUUUAUUAUCAGAAACAAUCUGUCAUGUUGUCACGUUACAGGUAAAGAAACAUUCAGCUUUGGGUUUGUUCAUAACUCAGAACAAUAAACAAACUUCUUCUUCUUCUU